AAGUUUAAAGGGCGUAUGGUGGAUGCCUUGACACCAAAGGGCGAUGAAGGACGCGGCGUGACUGCGAUAAGCUUCGGGGAGCCGUCAAGCAGGCUUUGAUCCGGAGAUCUCCGAAUGGGGCAACCCAGUACGGCAAAACCGUACUACGUGUUUUUUCAACACGGGCUAACCCGCUGAAGUGAAACAUCUCAGUAAGCGGAGGAAAAGAAAAAAACUAUCCAAUACUUCGCAUUGGAAAUAUCUAUGGGUAUUAAAAAUUGGUAAUUCUAGUGCGGUAGCGUUGGUUUGAUUCCCUUAGUAGCGGCGAGCGAAAAGGGAGGAGCCUAAACUCCGAUUUUUAAUCGGAGGGUUGUAAGUUAGAUACGCUGCCAGAGUAAUCUGGCACAGAGUUCAUCAAAUGUAAUUUGUUUAGCAGAAUGGUCCUGGAAAGGCCAACCAAAGAGGGUAAUAGUCCCGUACGCGAAAAACAUUACAUACUCUGAGUAUCUAUCCCGAUAAAAUCGGGACCUCGACCUCAUUACUUUGGCGUUUGUCAGAGUGAUGAAUCGGGGAACUUGAGUACUUCGAGACACGACAGGCUCGGAGGAAGCAGGGAGAACUAACUCCCAAGGCUAAAUACCUUUGGUGAUCGAUAGUGAACUAGUACCGUGAGGGAAAGGUGAAAAGCAGCCCGGUGAGGGCGGUGAAAUAGUACCUGAAACCAUAUGCCUACAAGGACUCGGAACACCUCCGCUGACGCUCAGUGCUUCUAAAUUUUAAUUUAUGAUUUGGGAGUAUUGAGCGUUAGCGAGGUGCGACGGGAUGCCUAUUGAAGAAUGAGCCAACGAGUUAAUGUAUGCUGCUUAUCUAAUCCGCUGAGUGCGGAGGAGAUAGAGGGAAACCGAGUGUUAAAAGCGCGAAAUAUAAUAUGAUGCCAAUAUGCGAAUGUAAUGCCAAUGAUGCGAAUUGCCAAUAGGCAAUUUGUUGAUCGGCAUAUCUUUCGUAGAUUUGCAUCAUGUUAUCUGUAGCAUGCAUUAGACCCGAAACCAGAUGAUCUUACCAUGGACAGGUUGAACCUCGAUGAAAGUCGGGGGGAGGACCGAACCGGUUGGCCGUGCAAUACCAUCGGAUGAUCUGUGGUAAGGAGUGAAAAGCUAAUCGAAUCUGGUAAUAGCUGGUUCUCUCCGAAAUAGCUUUUGGGCUAGCGUCCAAUCACAACACUGGAGGUAGAGCUACUGGAAGGUAUGAAUAGGGAGAAAUCUCGUCAUACCUACCAAACUCCGAAUGCCAGUGUCUGUCUUUUAUUUUUUAAAUAAAAGAUAAGGAUUGGGCAGUUAGACUGUGGGGGCGAAGCUCCACCAGUCAAAAGGGGAACAGCCCUUGACCUCCAUCUAAGGCCCCUAAAUUUCUCCGGCCUAAAACCGGAGCGUUGAUUUCUUAUCUUUGAUAAGAAAUUAGCGUUGCUAAGUGUAUCUUGAGGAGGUGAAAUUUCUCAGACAGCGAGGAUGUUGGCUUAGAAGCAGCCAUCAUUUAAAAAGUGCGUAAUAGCUUACUCGUCUAGAGAUUUCGCGCCGUAAAUAAUCGGGACUAAGCAAAAUGCCGAAGAUGAGGAUAUCAAUGCUUUGCAUUGGUAUGGUAGGAGAGUGUUUACAUCAGCUGAGAAGGUCUAGGCGUGAGCCGGACUGGAGCGAUGUAAAGUAAGAAUGUUGGCACAAGUAACCGCAAUCCGUCUGAAAGCGACGGACGCCGAAAGCUCAAGGUUUCCUGGGCAAUGGUGAUCAGCUCAGGGUUAGUCGGGCCUAAGGUAAUGGCGAAAGCCGGAGCCGAUGGACAUACGGUUAAUAUUCCGUAACUCCGCUAAAAUUUGAUGGAGUGACGGAGGAGAUAAGCGGGGGCGCAUUACUGGAUUUGCGUUCUCUGUGGUAGAGAUGUUCUCUAGGCAAAUCCGGAGAACUGAUUAAAUUCAAAUCUCAAAACAGAGAAAAUUUUUCCUCUUCUGGGGUAAAAAAUUUCCGCGAAGAGCCUUCCAAGAAAAACUUCUAAAUCCGCCCUUGGCGGAAAGUUUUAGCGGACCCGUACCGCAAACCGACACAGGUGAGCAGGUCGAGAAGACCAAGGCGAACGGGUGAGUGUUCCCCAAGGAACUCGGCAAAAAAGCGGCCGUAACUUCGGGAUAAGGCCUGCCUCAUAGAGGCUGGAAGAAGGGAGUUUGUGGGGGCAUAAGUAAGCUCAUAAACAUAAGGUGACCCCUGUUUAUGGGUUGGCUUACAAAGACAGGUUCAAGUCCUGUCGCCUCCACCACAAAUUUCUUUUUGUACUUUUAAAAACGGGGAGGCCCAGUAGGGGUCUCUGUGACGCUAAACAGGCGUAAAAAGAGAUGGCGACUCAUAAUCGCCCCUCCCUGCCAACCUAAUCCAUUUAGGGUUAGGUCCUUUCUUCCAGUUUCUAUGAGGCCGCAGCGAAAGUUUCUCUGGCGACUGUUUAUCAAAAACACAGCUCCCUGCGAACUCGUAAGAGGAUGUAUAGGGGGUGACGCCUGACCAAUGCGAAAAGGUUAAAAAACGCUGGUAGUUUUCUGCCUCUGGCAGAGAGCCGCUGGUGUUUUAAGCCCUCGUGAAUGUCGGCGAUAACUAUAAUCGUCCUAAGGUUUUCCGUUUAAUCUUAAAAUGGUUAAACGGAAAAGGAUUGGGACGAUUAUAGAUGCUGUGUUUUUAUGUGGUAGCUGCCCAUUUCGUUUUUACGAAAUGUCCUUAAAAUCUAGCCAUAUGCUGGAAAAUCUGUGGAUAAAAUCCUGUAGAAUCUGGCAUUACUAUGGUAUAAUUAUUCCAUAGUAAAAAUAUGACCAGUGCAGAUAACCAGCAGGAAAGACUAAAAACUGAGGGGUGGAUUGUCGGUUUUACCGACGGCGAAGGAUGUUUUUCUGUUAGCUUUAUAAAAAAUAAGACAGUAAAAAGUAGAUGGCAAAUAUUUCCUGAGUUUGUGAUAACACAGGGAGAAAAAAGUUUAUCAGCCCUUAAAUUAUUCCAAAAAUAUUUUGGGUGCGGAAAGAUAUUCAUUAAUAAAAGAUACGACAACCACCGUAAAAAUUUAUAUCGUUUCUGCGUUCGUUCUAUUAGAGAUUUGCAAGACAAGAUAAUACCAUUUUUUGAGAAGAAUAGAUUGCAGACUAAAAAAGAGAUAGAUUUUAAAAUCUUCUCAAAGAUCGUGAGUGAGAUAAGAAAAAAGAAGCAUUUAUCAAAAAAUGGUGCUAUUAAAAUCGCAAGAAUGAUUGAAAGAAUGAACACGCAGAAAAAAUCUCGGUUUUUAGAAUCCUCAGAGACUAUAAGCUAGAUCCGCCCACUGGCGGAAAGAUAUAGUCCGAACUUAUUGGCGACAAUAAGAUUAACACAAUUGAGCGAAAUUCCUUGUCAGGUAAGUUCUGACGCGCACGAAUGGCGUAACGACUGGAGAACUGUCUCGGGGAACAGCCCGGUGAAAAUACAAUGGGGGUGAAGAUGCCCUCUACCUGCAGCUAGACGGAAAGACCCCGGAAGCUUUACUGCAGCUUGAUAUUGGCUUUAGUUUAUCCAUGCGUAGCAUAGGCGGGAGACUAUGAAGGUCCGUUCUCGGACGGACUGGAGUCGCCAGUGAAAUACCGCUCUUGGAUGAAUUAAAAUCUAACCUUUUCUGCAAAACAGGAUUGGGACAGUAUCUGGCGGGCAGUUUGUUUGGGGCGAAUCCCUCCUAAAAGGUAACGGAGGGGUCUAUAAGGUCGGCUAUCCGCCGAUGGAAACGGCGGAGAUAGUGUAAUGGCACAAGCCGGCUUGACUGCGAGACGGGCAUGUCGAGCAGGUGCGAAAGCAGAGCAUAGUGAACCGACCACCCGCAUUAGAGGCGGUGGAAGAUUAACGGAUAAAAGCUACUCCGGGGAUAACAGGCUAGUCCUGCCCAAGAGUUCACAUCGACGGCAGGGUUCGGCACCUCGAUGUCGGCUCAUCCUAUCCUGGGGCUGGAGAAGGUCCCAAGGGUUUGGCUGUUCGCCAAUUAAAAGGAUACGCGAGCUGGGUUCAAACCGUUGAGCUCACAAAAUAUAAAAUUUUGUGACUUCAAUAGUUUGAACCCGAGGUAAAGACAUCAAAACACGGCGGCAUUCCGUAGUAAUACGGAAUUGACAAUCGGCUAUAUCGGUGGAAACCUGACAUUGAAUAAUAACCUGUCAUAUGUUAGGAAAAUACCGAGGGAAGUCGAAUAUGAUUUCGUCGCAGUAAAAAGCAUAUCUUGUAGGAUUUUUUGACAGAGAUGGAAGUAUAUAUGUGCGUGCGGAACCGAACAUUUGAAUUAUUCAAAAAGACGAAAAAACAUAUUUUGACCCCGUAGAGACUACACGCCGACACCCACUUAAAUUUAUGGGUGAAGAUAUAGUCCAAACACAAAAAUGUGUUGCGUGAGACAGGUUGGUCCCCUAUCUGCUGCAGGCGCUAAGUUUCUGAGGAGAGUCGUCCUCUGUACGAGAGGAUCAGGACGAACUAACCUCUGGUGUACCAGUUGUCCCGCCAGGGGCACUGCUGGGUAGCUAUGUUGGGAAGGGAUAAUCGCUGAAAGCAUCUAAGCGAGAAGCCCACUCCAAGAUUAGAAACUUUCCGGGUUAAACCGGAUGGGUCCGGUCGGAGAUGACGACCUUGAUAGGCUCUAGGUGUAAGUCCAGCAAUGGAUUGAGCCGAGGAGUACUAAUGGACC
rnacentral:rRNA from 1 species